rnacentral:rRNA from 1 species
UACGUAGGGUCCGAGCGUUGUCCGGAAUUAUUGGGCGUAAAGAGCUCGUAGGCGGUUUGUCGCGUCUGCUGUGAAAUCCCGAGGCUCAACCUCGGGUCUGCAGUGGGUACGGGCAGACUAGAGUGCGGUAGGGGAGACUGGAAUUCCUGGUGUAGCGGUGAAAUGCGCAGAUAUCAGGAGGAACACCGGUGGCGAAGGCGGGUCUCUGGGCCGUAACUGACGCUGAGGAGCGAAAGCGUGGGGAGCGAACAGG